rnacentral:rRNA from 1 species
UACAGAGGGGGCAAGCGUUGUUCGGAAUUACUGGGCGUAAAGGGCGCGUAGGCGGCCUUCUAAGUCGAACGUGAAAUCCCCGGGCUUAACCUGGGAACUGCAUUGGUGACUGGCAGGCUUUGAGUGUGGCAGAGGGAGGUAGAAUUCCACGUGUAGCAGUGAAAUGCGUAGAGAUGUGGAGGAAUACCGAUGGCGAAGGCAGCCUCCUGGGCCAACACUGACGCUCAUGCACGAAAGCGUGGGGAGCAAACAGG